AAAUUGAAGAGUUUGAUCAUGGCUCAGAUUGAACGCUGGCGGCAGGCCUAACACAUGCAAGUCGAGCGGUAGCACAGAGAGCUUGCUCUCGGGUGACGAGCGGCGGACGGGUGAGUAAUGUCUGGGAAACUGCCUGAUGGAGGGGAUAACUACUGGAAACGGUAGCUAAUACCGCAUAAUGUCGCAAGACCAAAGUGGGGGACCUUCGGGCCUCAUGCCAUCAGAUGUGCCCAGAUGGGAUUAGCUAGUAGGUGGGGUAACGGCUCACCUAGGCGACGAUCCCUAGCUGGUCUGAGAGGAUGACCAGCCACACUGGAACUGAGACACGGUCCAGACUCCUACGGGAGGCAGCAGUGGGGAAUAUUGCACAAUGGGCGCAAGCCUGAUGCAGCCAUGCCGCGUGUGUGAAGAAGGCCUUCGGGUUGUAAAGCACUUUCAGCGGGGAGGAAGGCGGUGAGGUUAAUAACCUCACCGAUUGACGUUACCCGCAGAAGAAGCACCGGCUAACUCCGUGCCAGCAGCCGCGGUAAUACGGAGGGUGCAAGCGUUAAUCGGAAUUACUGGGCGUAAAGCGCACGCAGGCGGUCUGUCAAGUCGGAUGUGAAAUCCCCGGGCUCAACCUGGGAACUGCAUUCGAAACUGGCAGGCUAGAGUCUUGUAGAGGGGGGUAGAAUUCCAGGUGUAGCGGUGAAAUGCGUAGAGAUCUGGAGGAAUACCGGUGGCGAAGGCGGCCCCCGACAAAGACUGACGCUCAGGUGCGAAAGCGUGGGGAGCAAACAGGAUUAGAUACCCUGGUAGUCCACGCCGUAAACGAUGUCGAUUUGGAGGUUGUGCCCUUGAGGCGUGGCUUCCGGAGCUAACGCGUUAAAUCGACCGCCUGGGGAGUACGGCCGCAAGGUUAAAACUCAAAUGAAUUGACGGGGGCCCGCACAAGCGGUGGAGCAUGUGGUUUAAUUCGAUGCAACGCGAAGAACCUUACCUGGUCUUGACAUCCACAGAACUUUCCAGAGAUGGAUUGGUGCCUUCGGGAACUGUGAGACAGGUGCUGCAUGGCUGUCGUCAGCUCGUGUUGUGAAAUGUUGGGUUAAGUCCCGCAACGAGCGCAACCCUUAUCCUUUGUUGCCAGCGGUCCGGCCGGGAACUCAAAGGAGACUGCCAGUGAUAAACUGGAGGAAGGUGGGGAUGACGUCAAGUCAUCAUGGCCCUUACGACCAGGGCUACACACGUGCUACAAUGGCAUAUACAAAGAGAAGCGACCUCGCGAGAGCAAGCGGACCUCAUAAAGUAUGUCGUAGUCCGGAUUGAGUCUGCAACUCGACUCCAUGAAGUCGGAAUCGCUAGUAAUCGUAGAUCAGAAUGCUACGGUGAAUACGUUCCCGGGCCUUGUACACACCGCCCGUCACACCAUGGGAGUGGGUUGCAAAAGAAGUAGGUAGCUUAACCUUCGGGAGGGCGCUUACCACUUUGUGAUUCAUGACUGGGGUGAAGUCGUAACAAGGUAACCGUAGGGGAACCUGCGGUUGGAUCACCUCCUUACCUUAAAGAA
rnacentral:rRNA from 1 species